AUCAAGUAGUUCUUAGAUUAUGAGGAUAUUAGGCAUUGAGUGUGUUUAAUGUUUUACAGAAACGUGCUAUGUGCAAAGAAUCAAAUCACUGAUGAAGAAAAGUAAUGUGCUGCUUGGUCCUUCCCUCAGAAUUCUCAAGCCACCUGACCUUUCAUUCUCCAACAGUGUGCAUGUGAGAUUUUCUUUCUCUUGACUGUUGUUGUUUUCUAUCAAUUAACAAACAUAUUAGAGCACCUACUAUACUCCACGUAUUUUGCUAGGUUCUGAGGAUAUGAAACUGAAGGUUUUGAGGGACAGAAGUAAUGUAUACCCUCAAGGAGUUUACAUUCUAUUGCUACAGCUGAGAAGGGAGAAAAAGGGAAGAAGGAGAAGAAGAAACAAAGAAGAAAGAAAGGGGAAAAGAAGUAUAAGGGAAUGGUUAACUGCCCUUAACUCUCCUAUUUCUGACAAUGCAAGCAGAGCUGGAUACAAGACUGAAGAUUUAGGGAUAUCCUACAGCUUCUAACAUUUGGCCAUAGGAUAUAGGGGACACUGCCUGUAAUUUAAUCUUGAAGACCCAUCUUACAAAUGAAGAAACUGAGACUGAGACUUUGAAUGGCUUGUCCAAGAUCACACAGCUAGCAAGAGACAAAGCAGAGCUUCCAACCCAGGUAUUUUCUCUCUAAAUCCAAGGCUUUUUCCUCCC
rnacentral:lncRNA from 1 species